UACGGAGGGUGCAAGCGUUCUCCGGAUUCACUGGGUUUAAAGGGUGCGUAGGCGGGCAGGUAAGUCCGUGGUGAAAUCUCUGAGCUUAACUCAGAAACUGCCAUGGAUACUAUUUGUCUUGAAUAUUGUGGAGGUAAGCGGAAUAUGUCAUGUAGCGGUGAAAUGCUUAGAUAUGACAUAGAACACCAAUUGCGAAGGCAGCUUACUACACAGUUAUUGACGCUGAGGCACGAAAGCGUGGGGAUCAAACAGG
rnacentral:rRNA from 1 species